GGAAAAACUACAUAUCAAUAAGCGGAGGAAAAGAAACCAACAGGGAUUGCCCUAGUAACGGCGAGUGAAGCGGCAACAGCUCAAAUUUGAAAUCUGGCUCUUUUAGAGUCCGAGUUGUAAUUUGCAGAGGGCGCUUUGGCGUUGGCAGCGGUCCAAGUUCUUUGGAACAGGACGUCACAGAGGGUGAGAAUCCCGUACGUGGUCGCUAGCCUUCGCCGUGUAAAGCCCCUUCGACGAGUCGAGUUGUUUGGGAAUGCAGCUCUAAAUGGGAGGUAAAUUUCUUCUAAAGCUAAAUACUGGCCAGAGACCGAUAGCGCACAAGUAGAGUGAUCGAAAGAUGAAAAGCACUUUGGAAAGAGAGUCAAAUAGCACGUGAAAUUGUUGAAAGGGAAGCGCUUGCAGCCAGACUUGCCUGUAGUUGCUUAUCCGGACUUUUGUCCGGUGCACUCUUCUGCGGGCAGGCCAGCAUCAGUCUAGGCGGUUGGAUAAAGGUCUCUGUCAUGUACCUCUCUUCGGGGAGGCCUUAUAGGGGAGACGACAUGCAACCAGCCUGGACUGAGGUCCGCGCAUCUGCUAGGAUGCUGGCGUAAUGGCUGUAAGCGGCCCGUCUUGAAACACGGACCAAGGAGUCUAACAUCUAUGCGAGUGUUUGGGUGUCAAGCCCAGACGCGUAAUGAAAGUGAACGGAGGUGGGAACCCUUUGGGUGCACCAUCGACCGAUCCUGAUGUCUUCGGAUGGAUUUGAGUAAGAGCAUGGCUGUUGGGACCCGAAAGAUGGUGAACUAUGCUUGAAUAGGGUGAAGCCAGAGGAAACUCUGGUGGAGGCUCGCAGCGGUUCUGACGUGCAAAUCGAUCGUCAAAUUUGGGCAUAGGGGCGAAAGACUAAUCGAA
rnacentral:rRNA from 1 species